rnacentral:rRNA from 1 species
AAAUUGAAGAGUUUGAUCAUGGCUCAGAUUGAACGCUGGCGGCAGGCCUAACACAUGCAAGUCGAACGGUAACAGGAAGCAGCUUGCUGCUUCGCUGACGAGUGGCGGACGGGUGAGUAAUGUCUGGGAAACUGCCCGAUGGAGGGGGAUAACUACUGGAAACGGUGGCUAAUACCGCAUAACGUCGCAAGACCAAAGAGGGGGACCUUC